GACGUAGGAGGCGAGCGUUGUCCGGAUUCAUUGGGCGUAAAGAGCGCGCAGGCGGCUUGGUAAGUCGGAUGUGAAAUCCCGAGGCUCAACCUCGGGUCUGCAUCCGAUACUGCCCGGCUAGAGGUAGGUAGGGGAGAUCGGAAUUCCUGGUGUAGCGGUGAAAUGCGCAGAUAUCAGGAGGAACACCAAUUGCGAAGGCAGCUCGCUGGGACGUUACUGGCGCUGGAGACGCGAAAGCGUGGGGAGCAAACAGG
rnacentral:rRNA from 1 species